GAAAGUACUGAUGGAAAUUAAAAAUAUAUUUUAGUGUAGUUAUUUACCUUUUGUCUCAGGGUGGUUUUAUUUAAAAAGUAUUAAUAUCUUGAUUGGUUUAGGGCUAAAACACGUAAUUUAUUAUAAAAAAUAGUUUAAGUUGGUUAGAGGUAAAAUUUUAUCGGUAAAUUUGGUAUCUAGUUAAGUAUAAUAGACUUUAGGUCUUUUACUAGUAAGUAAUUAAAACAAAAAGGUAAUCUUUUUGUUUGAUUAAACUAAAUUGAAUUUUAUUAAAACUAAGCUUUGGAUUUGCUAUGUUAAGUAAUUUGUUAAAAAUAAUAUUGUAAUAUGGUUUUUUGUUUAAUAUUAUAUUAUUUUUAUGUAGUUUAUAAUUAUUUUUAUAAUGGAUUAAUUAGUAUUUUUGAAAGUUGUGAGUAAGUAACUCGGUGUAUUUUUGAUAGUUUAACAAAAACAUUUUCUUAUUGAACUGUAAGGUAAGGCCUGCCCAGUGAAGAUUUUAAACGGCUGCGGUACCUUAACCGUGCUAAGGUAGCAUAUAUCACUUGGUUUUUAAUAGAGAUCUGGAAUGAAGGGUUUAACAAAUAUUAGUGUCUUACUCAUAAAGAGUGAAUUUAAGGUUCAAAGUAAAAACGCUUGAAUUAUUCGUGGGACGAUAAGACCCUAAAAGCUUUAUUUUUAAUAUUGAAAUAUUUUUAGUGUUUAAUAUAGUCAAUAAAUUUGGUUGGGGUAACAACUCUAAAUAUAUUAGGGUAAUUUUUUAUAGUAUAAUUAAAUAAUGGUCCUUAAUAUUAGGAUAUUAGUUGCAGUUACUUUAGGGGUAACAGGGUAAUUAUUUUAUAGAGCUCUUAUCUAUAAAGUAGGUUGCUACCUCGAUGUUGAAUUAAAAUUUCGGCGGAAUGAAAAAGGUUCGUUUGAGGGUUUGUUCAACCUUUAAUUUUUUACAUGAUUUGAGUUCAAAUCGGUUUAAGCCAGAUUGGUUUCUAUCUACUUAGUAAUAUAAGUUAUCUUAGUACGAGAGGAUCAGAUAGUUUUUAUGUUUA
rnacentral:rRNA from 1 species